UUUUUUUUUUACAUCUACUGUAGCUUUUCAGUUUAGACUUUAUAAAAGGCUAGUUCCUUACAGUUCUGCCUGAAGUUAAUCUUUCUCAGCAUUAAGGUGUUAAAAUUAUGAAGAUGCUGAAAUGCUUAGUAUCAAGACUGUAAUCUAACUUCUGAAUAUACUGCUAAAUCCGUAUUUGUGCCCUCAGGUCCCUAGGGGAAACUGGUUUGAUUAAUAUGGUUCCUUAAAACAAAAGUGGUGACCCCUUGUGUUUUCAAGCCUCUUGGUCUCAUUCCCUGUCUGCUCCUCAAUCCCAUUUUUUUUUAAUGAGUUGAUGGGAUUGAAUUUGUUUAGUUUGUAAAUAUGUUGAUUAUUCACCUUGUUAAGGUACAUGGUAAAUGACUGUAUGAUUGGAGCUGACCCUCCCUCACCUAAAUUCUUGUGGAGAAGUUGGUUACCAAAAUAGUGCUCGUUACACUCGCUUAAAAACAAACUAUCCUUUUCAUUACACUUAUAGGAAUAAAUAAAGCAAUGUUUUAAUUCAUUACUAUAUUAAAAACAGGAUAUUUUUUCAAACAUCUUUGUACUAGUAUGGUUGUUGCAUUGAUAAUCCUGAGCCCUGUUUUAGGAUUUUAUACAUUCUGAGGUGAACACUUAUUUUUUCAGCAUCUCAAGAGAGAUUCGAAUAAAAGCAGUGUGAGAGAAGUUCUGGUACAGGAGAAAUCAACUCAGAAGAAUUCGAGAAGUUCUUUAAAAUUAUCCAGAAGUUUAAGUAUAAAUGUGUAGCAUGGAUUUGGAAUAUAUGCAUAUAAAUUCCUAUAAGCGCGUACAUGGAUUUAUAUCCAAAUCUAAACACAGACCCAUAUAAAUCCAGCUGCUUUGAUCAUUCAGAAUAGUCUUACAUCCUGACAUAACAGACUUAGCAUUUCCCAGGAUGCUGGAUUAUUAACUGGUGCAGUUUCUAAAUUGUGUUUGAUGCCCGAUGACAUUCAGUUGGACACUCCUUGCUGGCUUAUACAUCUUUAAGAAUUUUGUUUGGCCUAAUCAAUUAAAGUAUGAAUGGAAAGAACUUCAUCCUCACAAGUGUAUGGAUGUAAACAUACAUAUAUACAUGUAUAUGUGUAUCUAUAUGUAUGAAAGCACAGACAAGAUACUUGUAUUAAAUAUGUAUCCCCCUUGCUAUACUGGGGGUGAUAAUUUGGAAGGUUAUUGAGAUUUUGACAAUCUUUACUCUGGGUGAAAAUCAUGACCUUGAUUGCUUGCCCAAAGACAAAAUGUCAAUUUUGUAUGUUCCUGUGCUUAUGUACAUAAGAAUAUGUACAUAUACACAUGCCCUGUAAAGACACUAUCCUGCCUUGGUUUAACAAGCUAAAUUACUGUACUAUAGCAUAUAUAGUAUUAUGAAAGUGUGGUAAGGUGUAAAGCAGAUGAGGGAUUUGGUAAAUAAUGAACAGAAAGAAUAAUCACCCUUGUGACUCCUGUUGGUCACAUAUUGCAUUUAAAUUUACUAAAUAGAAAGUCAUUUGGUAAUUCAAGUUCGUCACCAAAGUUGUCUAGUAUAAAUGCAGUGGAAAUGCUGCCUGUGAGGUUGGGUCACACAGUUGUGUAAUUGGUACUUUUCCAUUUGCCAGAUGCUAUUGGAAACUUCUAAAUUCAUACACCAGUUUUAGAAAGAUUCUUGGGUUGUAGAAUAUUUGCUUCAUUACCUCUCUCAGAUUUAGGUUUUCUCUGCUGGUUUGCCCAUCUUUUGCUAAUGUUGUGUGAGAAAGUGCAUGUUCAGACUGCUUGAAGGUCAUGUUUGCUCAUGUACAUGAGUUAGUAAUUAGUACUCUAACAGUCUAGCUGGUUAUUGCUUAAACCCAUUGUGUCACCUGGAAUUCAAGUAUCAUCUUUAAUCCUGGGAGUUUGAAAAAUAUCUUUUAUUUAACAAAUAGAAAAAUUGGGAGGCUAUUUUUUUCUUUUUUUUUUAACCCCAAAUUAAAUGUCUGAAUCAGUACAAACCAGUCUUUAUAUCUGGAUGCAAUUAAGAGGUUAGCCUAGAAAUAGUCGGUAUCACACCCUGGUUGUAUCAAAUCGGCACGCCAGAAUAGCUUCUAAUUAGAAAUGUGCA
ensembl:lncRNA